rnacentral:rRNA from 1 species
AUUGAACGCUGGCGGCAGGCCUAACACAUGCAAGUCGAGCGGAGCGGCGGACGGGAGAGUAAUGCCUAGGAAUCUGCCUGGUAGUGGGGGAUAACGUCGGGAAACGGGCGCUAAUACCGAAUACUAGGAGGAGAGCCUAGGUCGGGUUGGCUAGUUGGUGGGGUAAAGGCCUACCAAGGCGGCGAUCGGUAACUGGUCUGAUAGGAGGAUCAGUCACACUGGAACUGAGACACGGUCCUGAGUCCUACGGGAGGCAGCAGUGGGGAAUAUGGGACAAUGGGCGAAAGCCUGAUACAGCCAUGCCGCGUGUGUUAAGAAGGUCUUCGGAUUGUAAAGCACUUUAAGUUGGGAGGCGUUACCAACAGAAUAAGCACCGGCUAACUACGUGCCAGCAGCCGCGGUAAUAC